AUUGAACGCUGGCGGCAGGCCUAACACAUGCAAGUAGAGCGAGCGGAGGACGGGUGAGUAAUGGAUGGGGGUCUGCCUGAUGGAGGGGGAUAACUACUGGAAACGGUAGAUAAUACCGCAUACCAUAAUAUGAACCCAUAUGGGAUUAGCUUGUAGGUAAGGUAAAGGCUUACCUAGGCGCCGCUCCCUAGCUGGUCUGAGAGGAUGAUCAGCCACACUGUGACUGAGACACGGCCCAGACUCCUACGGGAGGCAGCAGUGGGGAAUAGUGCACAAUGGGCGCAAGCCUGAUGCAGCCAUGCCGCGUGUAUGAAGAAGGCCUUCGGGUUGUAAAGUACUUUCAGUCGGGAGGCGUUACCGACAGAAGAAGCACCGGCUAACUCCGUGCCAGCAGCCGCGGUAAUUC
rnacentral:rRNA from 1 species